AUCGAAAUAGAGAAUCGAUAGGAAUCGGAACCGAAAUGAGGAAUCGAAAUCGGAAUCAGAAUCGUUCAAAAUCAAACGAUACCCAACCCUAUCCUCAACUGACACAAGACAGCCUAGCAAGAUGCAAACCAUUUUCGGUCCAGUUCAGCUCCGUGACCCACUUCCAUCCAAGUCAAAAGACCUAACACCGGCAGAAUUUGCCUUAGUAUUUUCACUGUUCCGUGACACCAUCUGUUCAGUUUUUCCAUCUCGACGGUUAUCUCUCUAUAAUCCUACACAUGGCCCUGCGUUUUGGCGGUACAGGCUUUUACAGCUAUCACAUGCACUCCGCUAACCAGGCAGCCGGCCGCAUCCAGCAGGUCAACCAGAUCACAUACUGGGGCACACUUGACUCUGAAUUGUAUUGCCAAAUCUUUGCCGCCCGCACCUCCCUCUCUUGUGAGCUUUGCCCCCUCCCUCCCUGCUACAGUAUGCAUUGUUAGCGCUUAGACAUUCGAUUAGGCCUGCACGAUAUAUCGUUUGAGCAUCGUCAUUGCGAUGUAUGUGUGUGCAAAAGUCACAUCGCAGAGCAUGCGAUGUCGGAGGUGAAUGAACUCAUCUAAUUUCAAGGGUAGCCGACUGAGAUACACUGCAUGUGACUCUGCAUGUGCUUUGCAGCGAUCCACCAAUCACCUUCGUUCUUUACUCAGUUGCCAAUCAGACUCAGUUCUCAGUUGCCAAUCAGACUACACUGCCAGCUGUCAAUCAAAAUCAGAGAGGAGGAAACCCACCCCUGCACAUGUCCUGCACAUGGAGUGAGUCGCUGGCGCUACCGGAGUUGAGCCGAGAAACGCGUGUCCGCUGAGAAUUACCUUCAGAACAUUACUCAUCACUGUUUAGCCCAACAAAUAAGAACCGUAUGGGUUUUAAAUUGUACAUUUCCCUGGACCACUCUACUAUAAGCAGUGCGCAUUUUAUGAGGUGCAUGCAAUUCUCUGAGGACAUUCGUUUCUCAGCUAAACCCCGGUAUCAACAACAACAACGAUCGCAAACUGAGCAACAAACAGAGAAAACCACAGAAGAUGAAGACUUGUUGCCAAAAAGAAAAGGAAAGUCAGUUAUCUGGAACUAUUUCGGUUAAAAGAAGGAUGAUGUUGACCAAAACACGUGUUCUGUGUUCAUCUGUUGCCACAAUAACGUCCCAGCACAAUAAAAGCUAAAAAUAUCUCUGAGACAGACAGAAGCCAUUCUACUAACAUUUACAAAAAGAGGUAAGAUCAGUGCAGGUUAACUGUCCUCAAAAUUUCAGCAGUGCAGCAUAGCAUAAAGUGCUAUUCAGGUCAUCUGGUGAAAAUUCCUGUAUUUUUUAAUAUCGCAAUAUAUAUCGCAGCGUUGAAAAAAAUCACAAUGUUGGUUUUUUCCAAUAUUGUGCAGCCUUACAUUCAACCCGCCGUUAAUGUCCCCAUGCCAAAAGGGGUCGAGAAGAAAGGAAGGCCCAUCCUAUACCAAGCCAGAAAGAUGGUUUGCAAUAACUUCAACCACCUUGGCUGAACCCUCUCCAACUGUCGCCUCCUACACGUCUGCUCCACUGCUGGUAUGCGCAUGCUAGGUGCACCUGCCCGCAUAACCCAACUAUGCCCACCAGCUGUCUAACACAGCACCUCAGCUCACCCAUUAAGGUAAACACUCUAGCUGCAGCUUUAAAAAAUCACCCAGACAGAGAGUUUGUCAACUUCCUUCUUAACGGCUUCACUCACAGUAUUCGUCCUGGCAUAGACAUUCUCCCCGACACUUCACAUACCUGACAAAACCUUCAGUCUGCUCUCAAGGAACCCAACACUGUUGAUUCCUUGCUAGCAAAAGAGGUCAAAGAGGGAUUCAUGAUAGGCCCAUUUAAAGAACUACCUUUCCCCGUGUUUCGGGUCAGCGCCAUCAGCAUAGCCACCCAAAAAUACUCCGGCAAAAAGAGGAUGAUCAUAAACCUCUCCUACCCCCAUGGUUCACAAAUCCCCAGCAUUAACAGCUUCAUCCCAUGCCCUGAUUUCUCAAUGCAAUAUGAAUCAAUCGAUCAUGCUAUCACUCUCAUCCGUCUUGCAGGCCAGGGAGCUUGGCUCUCCAAAGCAGACAUCACAAGCGCAUUUAAAGUGCUACCCAUACACCCCAACUUCUGGUGUUACUUUGGUGUCUGCUGGAAAGGAGCCUAUUACUAUGCAGUGCGCCUCACUUUUGGUUGCAGAAGCAGCCCUAAGAUCUUUGACUCCCUCUCAGAAGCACUGUGCUGGAUUCUCACUAACAAUCACAGACUCCCAUUCGUUCUACACCACCUAGACGACUUGCUUGUCAUCAUUCCACCAUCAUCCCCUCCCAAGUUCGGACUCAUCACCCUCACAGACUGCUUUUCAGAGUUUGGUGUACCUCUUUCAAAAGAAAAAAACUUUUUAGGUAUUACUCUAAAUUCAGCUUCCCUCCAAGCAUCUCUACCUCAGGAAAAGAUACAGCGCAUCACCCUUUUCCUCUCUAUCUCCUAGCAGCUAGAUGCACCAAACGCCAGUUACUGGCCCUCCUUGGUCACCUCAACUAUGCCAUCCGAAUUAUCCCUCAGGCAAAAUCUUUCCUAUCCAAUCUCCUAACAAAAGCUGCAGCAGUCCCCUCCUUGCAUGACAGAGUGGUCUUGGAUGAAGCAUGCAAAAUGGAGAUGUACAUGUGGCAACAUUUCUUGUCCUGUUAGAACGGCAUUUCUUUCUUCUACGACGAUUUCAUAACCCAAUCAGAAGACAUCCAACUGUUCGCAGACGCAGCUCCCUCUAUAGGUUUUGGAGGCUACAACAGGGGGAGAUGGUUUGCUUCCACCUGGCCUUCAGAACUAAAAGACCUCGACUCAAAAUCCCAGUCUCCUUCAUCAGCCCUUCAUGAACUCUACCCCAUCAUCAUUGCAGCCUUACUUUUGGGGCAAGAAUGGUCAAGAAAAUCUAUACUCAUACACUCAGAUAACAUAGCAGUCGUAGAGAUCCUAAACAAAGGCAGAUCUCAUUCCCCAUCAAUCAUGCAGUUUCUGCGCAGACUCACACUAGUCUCAGCUCACCAUCAAUUCAUUCUCAGGGCAGCUCAUACUCCCAGAUACCAGAACAACAUUGCUGACGCUCCGUCGUGCUUCUCUUUCCAGAAAUUCAGACAUCUGGCCCCAGAGUCUGAUCCACAUCCCUCACCAGUCCCACCGUUUUCCGCCACAGCAUUCAAUGAACUCCCCAGCUAAUAAACCUCACUCAUGCCUCACAAGACGCAAUUAUCAAAAGUCUUGCUCCCAGCACUCUAUCUGCUUACCUGACAGGUUGGAACUGCUUCAAGUCCUACCACUCUGCAUUACAGCUGCCCUUCCCAUCUCUGGACGUCGUAUCCAUCUGCAAUUUCAUAACUCAUACUCACACCAUCCAAAAUAUCCGAUCCUCGACCAUUCAAACCUACCUUGCUGGCAUCAAUUUCUUCCUCAAACUUAUCACCGGCUCUCAAUGCACCGCCACCCCCCACUCUCACAUAACCAUGCUAAUCAAGGGUUUAAGAAAACAGGAACUUACCAUCCCCAUUAAGCGCCAACCACUCACCUCUGACUUACUCAGCCUCUGCAUUCGUAACUUACGUUCAGGCUACUCAUCCCCAAUGGUCGAUUCUACACUAGAAUCAAUGUUCCUGCUUGCCUUCUUUGGUUUCCUUAGAUGCUCUGAAUUCGCUCUGACCUCUUCCAUCUUCAAUCCAUCCUAUCAUCCCAGACUAUCAGACAUCGCAGUUCACACAUCAGCUCAAGAUCUCUUUUCCUAUUUACAUCUUCCGCUUAAAUUCUUACCUCAGUCUGUUCGAAACACUCACCAAAUACAUCAGCUCCAGGUAUGCAGCUCAAGCAUCACUUCACGACCCUCUUUUCCUUACUGAAAAUGGAAAAAUGGCUACACGAUUCUGGUUCCAUAAACACCUGCAUCAAGUCCUCCUCAUGUCAGGCAUAACAUCAGAGCACUACUCAGCCCAUUAAUUCGGCAUCGGCGCAGCAUCCACAGCAGCCAGGCAUGGCAUAUCAGAUCGAACAAUUCAAACCUUCGGACGAUGGUCAUCUCAGGCUUUCCACUCCUACAUCCGAAAUAAUCUCCACGAUCUGCGUCAGGCCCACACUCAGUUAAGCUCCUUUUCAUUAUUACUCUUUGGGGGUUGGACUAAGCUUGGGCAGAGCUACACCUGAGACGGAACCCCCAUCCUGAGUCUCUCACUGUCGGGCCUCUACAGAACCUCCCAGACCAACCAGACAUGCAACACUCCUCAUCAACCUCAUUAGCCAUCAAAACAUACGCACAUCAGACAAGAUACACACACUCCUGAAUUUGUAUUUUGUAUUCAAACCUACAUUGUUGUAGCGUGGUCAUUGCUAGUAAAAUGAAGUUAAUGUAUUAACUAAGGUUCAGGAGCAGGACCAUGCCUCACCACACCUUUAAUCACCUGACUAGCACCUGACUCACCUGACUAACUAUUUAUACACAGCCAGCCCACUACACUCUGUUUGUCUGCAAUUCUCUGACCCACCCUCCUC
rnacentral:lncRNA from 1 species